GAUGAACGCUGGCGGCGUGCCUAAUACAUGCAAGUCGAGCGAACGGACGAGAAGCUUGCUUUUCUGAUGUUAGCGGCGGACGGGUGAGUAACACGUGGAUAACCUACCUAUAAGACUGGGAUAACUUCGGGAAACCGGAGCUAAUACCGGAUAAUAUUUUGAACCGCAUGGUUCAAAAGUGAAAGACGGUCUUGCUGUCACUUAUAGAUGGAUCCGCGCUGCAUUAGCUAGUUGGUAAGGUAACGGCUUACCAAGGCAACGAUGCAUAGCCGACCUGAGAGGGUGGUCGGCCACACUGGAACUGAGACACGGUCCUGACCCCUGCGGGAGGCAGCAGUAGGGAAUCUUCCGCAAUGGGCGAAAGCCUGACGGAGCAACGCCGCGUGAGUGAUGAAGGUCUUCGGAUCGUAAAACUCUGUUAUUAGGGAAGAACAUAUGUGUAAGUAACUGUGCACAUCUUGACGGUACCUAAUCAGAAAGCCACGGCUAACUACGUG
rnacentral:rRNA from 1 species